rnacentral:rRNA from 1 species
UACAGAGGUCCCAAGCGUUGUUCGGAUUCACUGGGCGUAAAGGGUGCGUAGGCGGUCGGGUAAGUCUGAUGUGAAAUCUCACAGCUUAACUGUGAAACUGCAUUGGAUACUAUUCGGCUUGAGAGUUGGAGGGGGGACUGGAAUUCUUGGUGUAGCAGUGAAAUGCGUAGACAUCAAGAGGAACACCAGUGGCGAAGGCGAGUCCCUGGACAACUUCUGACGCUGAGGCACGAAAGCUAGGGGAGCAAACAGG